rnacentral:rRNA from 1 species
UACGUAGGGUGCGAGCGUUAAUCGGAAUUACUGGGCGUAAAGCGUGCGCAGGCGGUUUUGUAAGCCAGAUGUGAAAUCCCCGGGCUUAACCUGGGAAUGGCAUUUGGGACUGCAAGGCUUGAGUGCGGCAGAGGAGACUGGAAUUCCUGGUGUAGCAGUGAAAUGCGUAGAUAUCAGGAGGAACACCGAUGGCGAAGGCGGCGUCCUGGACCAACACUGACACUGAUGAGCGAAAGCCAGGGGAGCAAACGGG